rnacentral:tRNA from 1 species
GCACGGUUAGCUCAGUCGGCAGAGCACCAGACUCUUAAUCUGGCUGUCGAGGGUUCGAGCCCGCAUCAGGCU